GUUUUUGCAGCUUCAAAUUCCAGAUGAAGCUUUGUCCUUACUUUUGGGUAUGGGCUACAAAGAACAGGAUGCCAAGAGAGCGCUGCGUAUGAACAACCAAGUAGUAGAAAAUGCUGUUGAUUUUCUUGUUGAAGAGAGAGAAAAGAAAGCACGGAAAAGGGUGGAUGACCUUAAGCGGCAGAAGGAGAUCAUGGAGCAAAAGUGUUAUGGAACGACUCCUCUUGGAAAAGCUGUUGAUAUCGAGAGGCUGAAUGAAUUGGUGUCAAUUGGGUUUGAGAAAGAGCUUGCUGCAGAAGCACUGCGACGAAAUGAAAAUGACACACAAAAGGCUUUGGAUGACUUGACAAAUCCAGAAGCUAAUUCUUCAAUACAGAUGCAUAUCGAGUCUAGGAGGAAAAAAAGAUUGCGUCAAGCAGCCAAUGCUUCAAUUGAAGAGCUUGUAUCCAUGGGUUUCCCCAGAGAAGCAGCGGCUGCAGCUGUUCGC
rnacentral:misc_RNA from 1 species